rnacentral:rRNA from 1 species
CGGGUGAGUAACGUGUGAGGAACCUGCCUCAAAGAGGGGGACAACAGUUGGAAACGACUGCUAAUACCGCAUAAGCCCACGGCUCGGCAUCGAGCAGAGGGAAAAGGAGCAAUCCGCUUUGAGAUGGCCUCGCGUCCGAUUAGCUAGUUGGUGAGGUAAUGGCCCACCAAGGCGACGAUCGGUAGCCGGACUGAGAGGUUGGCCGGCCACAUUGGGACUGAGACACGGCCCAG